UGCCUUGUGGGGUAAUCGGUAGCCCACCGGACUUUGAAUCCGGGUGUUCAGGUUCGAGUCCUGGCGAGGCAGCGA
rnacentral:tRNA from 1 species